UACGUAGGGUGCAGGCGUUAUUCGGAAUUACUGGGCGUAAAGCGUGCGCAGGCGGUUUCUUAAGUCAGAUGUGAAAGCCCCGGGCUUAACCUGGGAACUGCGUUUGAAACUGGGAGACUUGAGUGUGGCAGAGGGGGGUGGAAUUCCACGUGUAGCAGUGAAAUGCGUAGAUAUGUGGAGGAACACCAAUGGCGAAGGCAGCCCCCUGGGUCAACACUGACGCUCAUGCACGAAAGCGUGGGGAGCAAACAGG
rnacentral:rRNA from 1 species